ensembl:lncRNA
UGAGGGUAGAGGAAGGACAUCAGUAAUAGAUGGUUGAGGGUAGAGGAAGGACAUCAGUAAUAGAUGGGAGAGGUUGAGGGUAGAGGAAGGACAUCAGUAAUAGAUGAGAGAGGUUGAGGGUAGAGGAAGGACAUCAGUAAUAGAUGAGAGAGGUUGAGGGUAGAGGAAGGAAAUCAGAAAUAGAUGAGAGAGGUUGAGGGUAGAGGAAGGACAUCAGUAAUAGAUGAGAGAGGUUGAGGGUAGAGGAAGGACAUCAGAAAUAGAUGAGAGAGGUUGAGGGUAGAUGAAGGACAUCAGUAAUAGAUGAGAGAGGUUGAGGUUAGAGGAAGGACAUCAGUAAUAGAUGAGAGAGGUUGAGGGUAGAGGAAG